UACAGAGGGUGCAAGCGUUAAUCGGAUUUACUGGGCGUAAAGCGUGCGUAGGUGGUCUGUUAAGUCAGGCGUGAAAUCCCCGGGCUCAACCUGGGAACUGCGUCUGAUACUGGCAGACUCGAGUGUGGUAGAGGGUAGUGGAAUUCCGCAUGUAGCGGUGAAAUGCGUAGAGAUGCGGAGGAACAUCAGUGGCGAAGGCGGCUACCUGGACCAACACUGACACUGAGGCACGAAAGCGUGGGUAGCAAACAGG
rnacentral:rRNA from 1 species